AUUGAACGCUGGCGGCAGGCCUAACACAUGCAAGUCGAGCGGAUGAAGGGAGCUUGCUCCUGGAUUCAGCGGCGGACGGGUGAGUAAUGCCUAGGAAUCUGCCUGGUAGUGGGGGAUAACGUCCGGAAACGGGCGCUAAUACCGCAUACGUCCUGAGGGAGAAAGUGGGGGAUCUUCGGACCUCACGCUAUCAGAUGAGCCUAGGUCGGAUUAGCUAGUUGGUGGGGUAAAGGCCUACCAAGGCGACGAUCCGUAACUGGUCUGAGAGGAUGAUCAGUCACACUGGAACCUGGGCACGGUCCCGACUCCUACGGGAGGGCGCAGUGGGGAAUAUUGGACAAUGGGCGAAAGCCUGAUCCAGCCAUGCCGCGUGUGUGAAGAAGGUCUUCGGAUUGUAAAGCACUUUAAGUUGGGAGGAAGGGCAGUAAGUUAAUACCUUGCUGUUUUGACGUUACCAACAGAAUAAGCACCGGCUAACUUCGUG
rnacentral:rRNA from 1 species